rnacentral:rRNA from 1 species
UUAGAGUUUGAUCCUGGCUCAGGAUGAACGCUAGCGGGAGGCUUAACACAUGCAAGUCGAGGGGUAACAGAGGUAGCAAUACUUGCUGACGACCGGCGUACGGGUGAGUAACGCGUAUGCAACCUGCCCUAUACAGGAGGAUAGCCCGAAGAAAUUCGGAUUAAUACUCCAUGCAGCAUAUUUUUCGCAUGAUAAAUAUGUUAAAGAUUUAUCGGUAUAGGAUGGGCAUGCGUCCCAUUAGUUAGUUGGUGAGGUAAUGGCUCACCAAGGCUUCGAUGGGUAUGGGGUCUAAAAGGAUGGUCCCACACACUGGCACUGAGACACGGGCCAGACUCCUACGGGAGGCAGCAGUGAGGAAUAUUGGUCAAUGGGCGAGAGCCUGAACCAGCCAUCCCGCGUGCAGGAUGACAGUCCUAGUGAUUGUAAACUGCUUUUCUAUAAGAUGAAUAAGGACUACGUGUAGUUCGAUGACCGUAUUAUAGGAAUAAGCAUCGGCUAACUCCGUGCCAGCAGCCGCGGUAAUACGGAGGAUGCAAGCGUUAUCCGGAUUUAUUAGGUUUAAAGGGUGCGUAGGUGGGCGUUUAAGUCAGUGGUUAAAGCCAAUAGCUUAACUAUUGUAUGCCAUUGAAACUGGAUGUCUUGAAUAGGGUAGAGGUAGGCGGAAUGUGUUGUGUAGCGGUGAAAUGCUUAGAUAUAACACAGAACACCGAUUGCGAAGGCAGCUUACUAUGCCUUUAUUGACACUGAUGUACGAAAGCGUGGGGAUCAAACAGGAUUAGAUACCCUGGUAGUCCACGCUGUAAACGAUGAUCACUCGUUUUUGGCAAUACAUCGUCAGAGACUAAGCGAAAGCAUUAAGUGAUCCACCUGGGGAGUACGUUCGCAAGAAUGAAACUCAAAGGAAAUGACGGGGGCCCGCACAAGCGGUGGAGCAUGUGGUUUAAUUCGAUGCAACGCGAAGAACCUUACCCGGUCUUGACAUCCGUAGGAUCCUUCAGAGAUGAGGGAGUGCCUUUCGGGGAACUACGAGACAGGUGCUGCAUGGCUGUCGUCAGCUCGUGUCGUGAGAUGUUGGGUUAAGUCCCGCAACGAGCGCAACCCCCGCAUCCAGUUGCCAUCAUUAGGUUGGGGACUCUGGAUGGACCACUGCGGUAACAACGCAGAGGAAGGUGGGGAGGACGUCAAGCAAUCAUGGUCCUUACGACCGGGGGUACACACGUGCUACAAUGCUAGUUACAGAGGGUUGCGAAGCCGUAAGGUGGAGCUAAUCUCAUAAAAGCCAUUCUCAGUUCGGAUUGCAGGCUGCAACUCGCCUGCAUGAAGUCGGAAUCGCUAGUAAUCGCGGAUCAGCAUGUCGCGGUGAAUAAGGGCCCGGGCCCUGCACUCACCGCCCGUCAA